rnacentral:lncRNA from 1 species
UCUCCCUCACUCUCGAACGUACGGACAAGCUAGGAACCUCCCAUUUCUUCACGGAUCGAAGGUUCUAAGGUAAGAUUUGAACACCUAGUAAGCUUGUGAGUUAGUAUAUGUGAUUUUUGGAACUUAAAACCCUCAGAAUCAUCGUGAAACCAUAACCCCGAAAAUGUGCACUGUUCAUGCACACGUAAAAUCUUGCAUUUCAGGCAAUUUCAAGCUCACAUUGAGCUUAAGGAGAUCCUCACGAGCUUCGGGGUACUUCGUUGGUAGAAUUUGGACGUCGGAGGAUCAAGAUCGGAGUUUUUCAAAAUUGGCCGGAUUAUCGUGCUUCCUCAGG